rnacentral:rRNA from 1 species
UGGGGGAUAUUGCACAAUGGGCGAAAGCCUGAUGCAGCGACGCCGCGUGGGGGAUGAAGGCUUUCGGGUUGUAAACCUCUUUCGCUAUCGAACAAGGCCCGCUUAGGGUGGGUUGAGGGGUAGGUGGAGAAGAAGCGCCGGCUAACUACGUGCCAGCAGCCGCGGUAAUACGUAGGGCGCGAGCGUUGUCCGGAAUUAUUGGGCGUAAAGGGCUGGUAGGCGGCUUGUUGCGCCUGCUGUGAAAAAGCGGGGCUGAACUUCGCGCGUGCAGUGGGUACGGGCAGGCUUGAGUGUGGUAGGGGUGACUGGAAUUCCAGGUGUAGCGGUGGAAUGCGCAGAUAUCUGGAGGAACACCGAUGGCGAAGGCAGGUCACUGGGCCAUUACUGACGCUGAGGAGCGAAAGCAUGGGUAGCGAACAGG